rnacentral:rRNA from 1 species
GACGUAGGGCGCGAGCGUUGUCCGGAUUUAUUGGGCGUAAAGAGCUCGUAGGCGGCUCAUUGCGUCAACCGUGAAAACCAGCAGCUCAACUGUUGGCUUGCGGUUGAUACGGGUGGGCUGGAGUUCGGUAGGGGAGACUGGAAUUCCUGGUGUAGCGGUGAAAUGCGCAGAUAUCAGGAGGAACACCGGUGGCGAAGGCGGGUCUCUGGGCCGAAACUGACGCUGAGGAGCGAAAGCGUGGGGAGCGAACAGG